AGUAUUCAAAUACCAUACAAACAUGUUGCCCAUUAGGACCAGAAUGCUUAAAGUGAUCCAAUAGCUUCACAACACACUUCUUAUCAUCUGGAUCUCCCUCAGCAACCUGCUUUAGUAUUGCAAUCUCAUCCAUUGCCGCUUCAGUAUAAUGCUGAGCACUCUUUUGAACUUUCAGAGCUACAUAUGUAGAUUUUUGGAUGUCCCAAGCGAGCCAAACAGUUGAGAAAUGGCCCCAACCGAG
rnacentral:misc_RNA from 1 species